rnacentral:misc_RNA from 1 species
UUUCCGUAGGUGAGCCUGCGGAAGGAUCAUUAUUUAAGCUUCAUUCGGGGCGCCUCGGCCCUCAGUACCGGUGGAAACGCCGUGCUGCGGGGGCCGCGUGUGCACUCGUCCAAACCAAACCCCUGUGAACCAGACGGGGUAGCCCGGAUUAGCGCCCGGUUUCGUUCCGCUUUAUACAUACACUUAUCAAAGAAUGAGCUGAAGGCUGUCUGACCGAUUAAUAACAAACUGAAACAACUUUCAACAACGGAUCUCUUGGCUCUC